UUACUCCCCUGCUGGUGCCUCCCUCCUUGGCGCGCUUCCCACCUGCGAUCGGCGCCCUCUUCGCAGUCACGAACUCGCCAGCAGCUAGCAGCACUGACUAGUAGGAGGGCCCGCCGGAGGAGAGCCGCGCGGCCCACAGAAGCGGAACGCGCGUCGAGAGCGCCCUGUCCGCUCGCCCCAGACAGAUGCCCGGUUAUUCAUUACCGCGAGGCCUAGAGGAAAGAGUGGCUGCCGUCUUCCUGCCCACAGCCCGCCGGACCCUCCGUCGCGGCUGCCCGGUCCCCGGAGCCGCAGCCGCCGAGCCCGGCUGUGCGUGUCGUGGCUGCUGGGGAGAAAGAGGCUUCCGGAAGCCCCAGAGAGAUUGGUGAGGGUGAUUUCCCAGGAAGACGCAGUGUGCUCUGACUUCUGUGACAGUGAGCAACGGGACCAGUGGAUGUCCAGAUGCUGGCAAUGAGACAUGCUCUGGAGUCAGAAGACAGCGAAAAGAGAAGCAGAAGCCCCGGUGGCAAGAGUCUGAAGCAGGAAGGAUGACUGUAGCCUGUGGAUUGUACUGCAGUAGGAAACUGUCCUAGCAAGGCUCCACUUUGCCCCAGCUUCAAGCUGGAAAGGAGGAGAACAUGAAACAUUGCUUGAAGACAAUGGCCGAGACAGCAGGUCCCACCCUGCACAGCCACCAGCAUCUCUCCCCUCAGCCCUGUCUCCUCUUCUGCAGUUGGGAUCUGCACAUUUAAGCCUGAAAUUGUCCUGUGAAGUGAAGUAUGAUCGGACAGCCUCUUUUCAGCUUUUAUGACAAUGGAGACAGAGGAAUUGUGGCUCUUGCCAAGGUCACAGGAUUGGAAUACAGAGCCAAGCCACCCCAGGACAUGCAAGAGCCUCAGAAGGGAAAAAAGCCCAGCAGGAAGGGAGAACAAGUAGCCUCUGUCCUGAAGUUGUAACAGCCAGGGGCCAGGAUGGAGGAGGAGGACCCCAUAAUCUGCCCAUCUGGGACUUGGCAGGGGACCUGGGAAAAUGUACCCCAACCCAUCCCUUAAGGGCCUUUGUCUUUGGCCCAUUGGCCUAGCAUCUACUUCUUCACCGUGUCUGUUCUUGUCACACCUAGUCAGGUCUGUUUGGGUCUGAGGUGCAUGGAACAUUCUGGGUAGGCCUCCAGCAAACGGAAGCUCUUCACCGUGUUUCCAGCCUGGGACCAAGGGCAGCAUACUGGCAAAGUUGCCAAAGCAAGGGACUCCAGCCUCUUAGGAGUUAAUGACUCCCUCUCCCCAGCUGUCCUCCCCUUGGUGCUCCUCUUCCUCCCUCCUCCUGCUCACAGCAGGCAGGGCCUAGACCCGGGAGCCAUGCUGCUGUGCUGUUGCCAGGGGAGCACGGAGGCAGAUCUGAGCUAUGCAGGGAAAAGGCCCAGCCUGUCAAAGUGUCUGAGAUGAACCGCCGCCGUCCCUGUGCAGCUGGGCUCAGACGUGUCUCAGCUCUUGUUCUGUGCCUGAGAAUGGCGAAACCCAGUGAGGUUCAAGGGCAAACUCGCUAUUCAUUAGUCAGGGGUUCUUGACGUCCCGUCUCUCCCAGGGAUGAGUUCCCCCCUCCUCUUUCUCCCCCUCCUAUGACACAUUCCUGGGUGCCUUUGGUGAGGACUGCACACCCUCCUCCUGCCUAGCCCCCUCUCCAAAGGCCCCUGAAUAAACUCCCCCCAAGGAGACCAGGCAGGGCAGAGACAAUGGCUGCAGGAAAUCAUUCAGGCGGGACAUGCUGGCCUGCCCUCCACCCAGUCCCCCUGUGGGCCCCACUCCCUUCUGAUUCAGGGCACCCUUGGGCCCCCAGCCUAUACAGGCCUGGACAGGAAGAAACCACUGGGAACCACCCUAAGGACAACAUGCUAGUCCAGUGCCAUUCUUCGCUGGCUCUGUGGGUGCCUUUGUGGCCUGUACCGACUGGCUGGCUAAUUUUGUGGUUUCUGUACCAUCACAUGCCUAUUUUAAGACACUCUCCAGCACUGUCGGUUAGGGAGUGUAAAUUUUGCAAUAUUUUCUGAAAUGUGGCAAUAUCAAAAUGUAAAAGGCACACAUACUUGGUCACAAACAAAUGGCACUAUUUACUCUGUGGGCAUAUUUGUAAAAGUUGCCAAAGAAUUAUAUACAAGGAUGUUCAUCAGAGCAUUUCUUUUGAAGAGUAAAGAAAUGGACAUGAACCUGUGGUCCGUUCAUACGGUGGAAUACCUAUGCAGCUGUAAAAAUCAGUGUGGUAGAUCUCCGUAUAUGAGUUGAUGUGGAAGGUUGGCCAGUUCACAUGAUAAGGUGAAUAGAAUAAGUUACAGAACAGGCUGUAGAGUAUGAUCUUAUUUGUAGAUGUUUAAAACUGAGUCAUAAGUAUGCUUAUAUACAGAUCGUUUCUGGAAGUAUGUACUGGAAGUCUACCUCUGGGGAGUGGGGAUGGGGGAGUGCACUCUUCUAUACUGUUAUAUUUUCUUUUCAUGCUCCUAAGGUACUUUUAUUGGAAGAUGUAAAGCGGUUCAAUGUAAUAGGCUUAACUUCUGUCAACUAAGUUGGCGUGGGUGCUUUAAGAGGGUGGUAGUGAUGUUGCUGGAGAAAGUAUCCCACAGUCACUGGUGGCUUCAGCCACGGGCCAUUUUGGGGCCUAAUAAUCACAUAUCAUCAUGGUUGCUAGUGUUAAUCGAAAACCUACUAAGUGCCAGGCUUACUGUCUCUGGGUCUUGCUUACGUGGAUGUCAUUUUUCCAGUUGCACCAAAUCGAAAGAGGUUAAUUGGUUUGUUGGAGUUCCUUUGUAGGUGAAGGGCAGAGCCAGGAGCUUGGCUAGGGACAGGGGAGGUGAGUGGGGGAUGGUGGAUAGGUCUUGGCUCCCAGUUUCCUUCUGGGCAGACAUUGCCCCUCUGCCCUGAGGACCUGCUUGUUUGGGGGAAGAGGCCUUUAGAGGCACCAGGGUCAUGCCAGGUGUUGGACAUGGUGAACUGGGAAGUGCUCCCAUCUGGCCACAGCGCAGAAGUAUCACCGUGCUGGGGGAUGGGGAACAGGGCUGUGAAUGGGCCUAUUUGCAUAAGCAGCAUGUGUCUGGAGAGAAAGACAUCACAGAGCAGAAGAGUGCGGGUGCCCAGGAGUGCACUUGCCACCCCUACUUCAUCCCUGAAAGAGUAAAUGGCCUGGAAGGUGUCUCUGAGAGGUAAUGCCGCACACCACCCUCCCUGGGGGCAGGGUCAGGCUACACCUGCCUUAGGUCGGGGGCUGCAGCAGCCUGAGAGCUCUCAGUAGGGCCUCAGUAGCCUGGGAGGGAGCAGGGGCAGGGGGCAGGGAAAGAGGCGUAAUGGGGCUGUCCAGAGGGGCCUGGGAAACCUGGUCCCUGAGGCCUGGGCACAGCUACAAUCACUUCAAAUUGGCUGUGGGGCCAGUGGACUGGGAAGGAAAAAAGCAAUAAGAGUGACCAAGUGCAGAAGGCUGUCAGGUCCCAGGUCACAUGCCUUAGUGCAGUGACUCCUCAUCAUUUUAUGGGGUGUGGGUGUCGUUGGUACACCCAUUUUACAGAUGAGGACACCGAGGCCCAGAAAAGUUAAGUUACAUGUCCUAAGUCACACAGCUUGUAAGUGCCAGAACUGAGAUCAAAACCAAGUCUCUUUGACUUUAAAGUCUGUACUCUGACCCCAAAGAGAUCCUGUUUGGCCACUUAUAGGAGGUCCCUAAAGCUGCAGACUCCCCUUGCCGGCACCCACAUAUAGAGACAUUAACCCUUCCCCUGCAGGGUCACCUCAAAUAGUCUUUUAGCUGGGCUUCUCCUGCAAUUCCACCUAAUGCCAUCCCCUGGGUUUUGCCCAAACCUGAACUGGGCAGUGGGGUGAGAGGAGGGGUUUACAGGGUUACAGAGCCUCAUACAGAUAGGAGCCCAUGGCUGCUGGUCAUCUGCAUUCCUGCAGGAUUGGCUGUUCCUUGGGGUCCUUGGCAGGAAAAUGAGGAUUGCUCCGAGGCCUGCUCCAGUACUUCCCAGAGGCUGGCCUGGUGUGGGGCUCUGGGAAGGCUGAGGCUGGAGAAGCGUAAGUAGGAGGGCAGAGAUGGCACUCAGGUAGCUUGAAUCACCAGGACCCUUCCAAGCCCCACAGGUUCUGAGGGAGUACUAGGGCCAGCUCUGGGAGAGGUCUCUUCCUAUGCUGUGAACCCCCUGCCUUUCUUGCAGCCUACAACGAAUAAAUUUUCUUUGCAAAGGAAAAAAAAAAAAAAAAAA
rnacentral:lncRNA from 1 species